rnacentral:tRNA from 1 species
GCCUGUGUGGCUUAGUCGGUUAAGCAUCUGACUUUGGCUCAGGUCAUGGUCUCAUACUUUGUGAGUUUCAGCCUCAUGUCAGGCU